UUUAAGUUUCAGCCUUGCGACCGUACUCCCCAGGCGGCGAGCUUAACGGCUUCCCUGCGACACUCCGAUCGCGAUUUGCGACCGGAUCAUCUAGCUCGCAUCGUUUACGGCUGGGACUACCCGGGUAUCUAAUCCGGUUCGCUCCCCCAGCUUUCAUCCCUCACCGUCGAGCGCGUUCUGGUAGACCGCCUUCGCCACUGGUGGUCUUCCACGGAUCAAAGGAUUUUACCCCUACACGUGGAGUACCGUCUACCUCUCCCGCCUCCUAGUCCCGCGGUAUCUCCUGCGGACCAACCGUUGAGCAGUUGGAUUUAGCAGGAGACCUACGGAACAGGCUACGGAUGCUUUAGGCCCAAUAAUCGCCCCGACCACUCGAGGAGCUGGUAUUACCGCGGCGGCUGACACCAGACUUGCCCUCCCCUUAU
rnacentral:rRNA from 1 species